GGAGCCCGGGCCGGCCGCGGCUGAGGCGGAAAAUCCGGCCCCGAAAUAGUCCCGGGUUUAUGGGAUUGGUUUUGUGCUGCACAUCGAGUCCCAGUCGUGCCCCGCAUCGAGUGGCCUCCCUUGGAAGGGGACGCGGAGGAGCUGGAGCGUGUGCAGCGAUUUGCGAGAUGCUGGGAAGGGUGGGUGGGACCGGCCGAGGGAGCUGCGUGGGUUUAAUCGCGACGAUUAAACAUCGGGGCGAUACAUCGCAAAAACGCCGCUCAAGGGCUGGCCGGAGGUGUGACCGGCUAAAGUCACCGGCUGCUGGUAAAAACAGCGCAUGCUGCAGGACAGUGUAUUGCAUCCAAGAAGAUGAUGUGACGCUUCGUGGAAGUAAGAUGUAAGAAGUAUUCCAGGGCAUGAAAUCUUCCCAUAUUUUCAGUGAAAUCUUUUUUGGCAAGAAAAGCUGAUUCUUCGGUCCUGGGAUGCAGAGGGUGUUGUCUGUCACUGGGAUUUUAUCCUCGUGCUGAGUUUGGACUGCCCGGCCAAAGGACAGAGAUUUUGUCUUCUCUCACAUUUGAUGAAGUGCAGCAAAAGUGAUCCUGUGUCUCUUAGAACAGAGAACUCUGUGCUGAUCUCUGCGUUUCACACAAAGAAGGAUUGGCCAGCAUGAGAUGGAUGCAGGAGAGUAAUAAAUGCAGUGGAGUGUAAAGCAGAGUGAAAUAAACAGCUCUGCCUACACAUUGUUCAAGUUUUAAGAUUCAGCUGUUUGCUGAGUGGGCUGCUCGGGGCUGGCCCUUUCCUUGCAGUUUUCUGCAAGAAAUUAAAAUAAUUGA